rnacentral:rRNA from 1 species
UACGAAGGGGGCAAGCGUUGUUCGGAAUCACUGGGCGUAAAGCGCACGUAGGCGGAUUUGCCAGUCAGGGGUGAAAUCCCGGGGCUCAACCUCGGAACUGCCUUUGAUACAGCAAGUCUUGAGUUCGAGAGAGGUGGGUGGAAUUCCUAGUGUAGAGGUGAAAUUCGUAGAUAUUAGGAAGAACACCGGUGGCGAAGGCGGCCCACUGGCUCGACACUGACGCUGAGGUGCGAAAGCGUGGGGAGCAAACAGG